rnacentral:lncRNA from 1 species
ACCCCCGCCCCCAACCCACCCCGGCACCAGUCGCCCGCAUCGCGGCUCUCGCUAAGAUCGGCCCUAAGAGAGAAUGGAAGGCUGUUUCCUAGAAAGGAGCAUUGGUGGCGGCUGCUGGGAAGACACGGGGAAUGGAACGGGCCUUUGCUUCCGCAGCACAAAGCGUCACGAGGUGGGGAGGAGGAAAGGCCGGCGACUAUCUACACCGCCGCCUGCAGCUUUUACUGGGAGCGCUGAGCGCCAGCCUGGAGGUGCACGUGUUGCAGUGAGGAGCCCUGAAACAUGCGUGUUUUACUGCACAAGAUGUGCCCUUGAAUGGAGUCUAGGCCAGUCGGGGUCACCAAAAAAAAUCCACCAAAAAACACCCAAGAAGGGAGAAGCGGUCACCCCCCACGUGCUGGAAUGACAGCUUUUUACUUGCUAGGCAGUUGGACCUUUUCCGAAUUUUCUACAAUGCACAUAGAUUUGUACUUACAUCUUUAAAUUAAAACCCACGCAACUCCGGCUCCCUAGUGCAAUUUGAACAACCCAUUUACACUCAGCUAGGUAGCUCUGAAGGAACUGUGCCUCACCCCGGUCACCCUUGAGUUACCAGACCGUGGAGGCAGCCCACAGCAUGAUCUGUAGCUCCCAGAAGCAGGGGCAGUCAAAGUCAGAACUCUGUGAUUUCAAGACUUUUAUACUAAGAAUUUUGUUUUUCUGUUUUCUUUUUUUUUUUUUUUUU